UACGUAGGGGCCUAGCGUUGUCCGGAAUUAUUGGGCGUAAAGAGCUCGUAGGCGGUUCGGCAAGUCGGAUGUGAAAUCUCCACGCUCAACGUGGAGGGGCCAUUCGAAACUGCCGUGACUCGAGUCCGGUAGGGGAGUGUGGAAUUCCCGGUGUAGCGGUGAAAUGCGCAGAUAUCGGGAAGAACACCCGUGGCGAAGGCGGCUCUCUGGAACGCAACUGACGCUGAGACGCGAAAGCGUGGGGAGCAAACAGG
rnacentral:rRNA from 1 species